GACGAACGCUGGCGGCGUGCCUAAUACAUGCAAGUAGAACGCUGAAGAGAGGAGCUUGCUCUUCUUGGAUGAGUUGCGAACGGGUGAGUAACGCGUAGGUAACCUGCCUUGUAGCGGGGGAUAACUAUUGGAAACGAUAGCUAAUACCGCAUAACAAUGGAUGACACAUGUCAUUUAUUUGAAAGGGGCAAUUGCUCCACUACAAGAUGGACCUGCGUUGUAUUAGCUAGUAGGUGAGGUAAUGGCUCACCUAGGCGACGAUACAUAGCCGACCUGAGAGGGUGAUCGGCCACACUGGGACUGAGACACGGCCCAGACUCCUACGGGAGGCAGCAGUAGGGAAUCUUCGGCAAUGGGGGCAACCCUGACCGAGCAACGCCGCGUGAGUGAAGAAGGUUUUCGGAUCGUAAAGCUCUGUUGUAAGUCAAGAACGGGUGUGAGAGUGGAAGGUUCACACUGUGACGGUAGCUUACCAGAAAGGGACGGCUAACUACGUG
rnacentral:rRNA from 1 species